rnacentral:rRNA from 1 species
GACGAACGCUGGCGGCGUGCCUAAUACAUGCAAGUUGAGCGAUGAAGAUUGGUGCUUGCACCAAUUUGAAGAGCAGCGAACGGGUGAGUAACGCGUGGGGAAUCUGCCUUUGAGCGGGGGACAACAUUUGGAAACGAAUGCUAAUACCGCAUAACAACUUUAAACAUAAGUUUUAAGUUUGAAAGAUGCAAUUGCAUCACUCAAAGAUGAUCCCGCGUUGUAUUAGCUAGUUGGUGAGGUAAAGGCUCACCAAGGCGAUGAUACAUAGCCGACCUGAGAGGGUGAUCGGCCACAUUGGGACUGAGACACGGCCCAAACUCCUACGGGAGGCAGCAAUAGGGAAUCUUCGGCAAUGGACGAAAGUCUGACCGAGCAACGCCGCGUGAGUGAAGAAGGUUUUCGGAUCGUAAAACUCUGUUGGUAGAGAAGAACGUUGGUGAGAGUGGAAAGCUCAUCAAGUGACGGUAACUACCCAGAAAGGGACGGCUAACUACGUG